rnacentral:misc_RNA from 1 species
AAGAAAUUAUGCUGUCCAUUGCGAAAGCCUGGAGGACGAGUAAACAAAACAGCGACUCAUGAAAUGACAAAAACACCCAUGAUUAUUGCACCGACAUACCCAUAACAUAUAAAAACGCAAGGAUAUUUUAGUCAGUAGAAAAUUCAAAAACCAUAAUUGAAAGUUCCUAAUUUACUAUAUGACGAGAAAUCAUAACUGACG